CUAACUCUAUUCUAGUACAAAAAUAGAAAAACCCCCAAGUUUGGAGAGCCAAAUCAGAGAUACGGUGUAUAAAGCAGAGGAUAUUAUUGAAUCACAGAUGGUUCAUCAAAUGUUGUCUAACCCAGAAAGCGAGAACUUGACCUUUUCCACACCAGAUCUGCACCAAGUCACUCAAGAGCUGGAUUCUGUACUGGUUUUCAUGGCUGAGAAGAGGUUGACUUCAUCAGAUUUGCAGCAAGCAACUCAACAACUUGAAUCUGUGAAGCUCGUGGAAGAAUUGGAGGAAAAGAGUGCUUCUUCGUCGAGAUCUAAGAUUGAUUUGGUGGGAGUUGAUGAAGAUCUGUUGGAGUUAAAGGAUCGUCUCACGAAUAUGGAGAGGAAGGUGGAGAUCAUACCCAUCAUUGGCAUGGGGGGCAUUGGUAAGUCCACCCUUGCUCGAAAUAUUUAUGACGAUAAGUGUAUUGUGUCUCACUUUGAUUAUCGUGGGUGGUCUGUGAUUUCUCAAGUUUUCUGUGAUUUCUCAAGUUCCCAAUUUGCGAGAAAUUAUGUUAAGUCUUCUUUGUGGCCCGGAUGAAAAGGACAGUGAUGAACUGAUUAGAUGCGGAGAAAUAUUGCAUAAGAAACUGCUUGGGAGAAGAUACAUGAUUGUGUUGGAUGAUAUAUGGAGCACGAAAGUCUGGGAUGGGAUAAGGAUGUAUUUCCCAGACAACAGUAAUGGGAGUCGGAUUGUGAUCACCACUAGGGAGUCUGAUGUGGCGGAACAUGUUGCGGGCUCGAAAAGUCUGCAUCGUGUGCAGUUGCUAGACGAGUCUGCAAGUGGGAUCUACUUUGCCAGAUUGUGUUUGGGGAAGAGGAUUGCCCUGACGAAUUGCAAGAGGUGGCAGCUAAGAUUGGGAGUGAUUGCAGUGGGCUUCCUCUUGCCAUUCAUGUGAUUGGAGGGUUCUUGUCAAAGGUUGAAAGAUCAAUAGAUGUUUGGGAGCAUGUUUCAGCGGAUGUGAAAGCCUCAAUUGUUGAAUCAGACAAGCAGUUUUCCAAUAUACUUUCCUUGAGUUAUAACCACUUGCCGAUUCACUUGAAACCAUGUUUCUUAUAUAUGGAAGCUUUUUCGGAAGAUUAUGAGAUUAAGGGAUCUAGACUUAUGAGUCUAUGGAUAGUCGAAGGAUUUGUGAAGUCUAAUGGAGAUAGGAGUUUGGAGGAAGAGGCCGAAGAUAACUUAAAAGCUCUGGUUGAGAGGAAUCUACUUUUGAUCAAACGAAAAAGGCACAAUGGGAAACCAAUGACUUACUCAAUUCAUAAUCUUCUAAGGGAUCUAUGCUUAAGGAAAGCUAAUGACGAGAAGUUUUUAAACGUCAAGAAUUGCAUGCGCCGUGAAAGUGUUCAGUCAUCAUAUGAAAUGGAAGAUGUGAAUGCUUCACCCCAAUUGAUGUCACUUGCCCGAUCUUUUAUAUGCACUGGUGUACCUAUUGGGAUAUCAAGAUUGGGGAAUCUGCAAACCUUGAUUUGUCAACAAUUAAUGGGGUUUGGUUUGCCAUCGGAGAUAUGGGAGAUGUCUGAGUUAAGACAUCUGAGGUUGAUCACAUUAAUCGAAAUUGGGGAGGGAUACAAGAUAAGAUUUGUUCAUAAGAAGAUUGAAUUUUGGAGACCAACUUCCCAAGACUCUGGAAGCUGUAUGUAAUCAGAUGCAAUGAGCUAGAGGAAAUCCCCUGUGAUUUUGGAGAUAUCACAACUCUCCAAGAAAUUUACAUAUGGGAAUGUGGCGCUUCUGUAGUCGCCUCAGCACUACAAAUUCAAAAGGUGCAGCAAGAGGAGUACGACAACUACGACCUCAAAGUCGUUAUAGAAGAUGAUUAGAAGCCAAAAGUUUCAGCAACGCGCAAGAAUCUCUCAUGGCUCGAGCCGAACAUAUGCUCUGCAAUAGAAGGUAUGCAUAUUCAUGUCUGUAACUGUAAGAUUUAGAUUUGGACGUACUGUUUGUUAGUACUACCAAUAAAGGAUUCAAAUUCGUUUAACAAUUUCACCGAAGUUUUGUCAUGAUAUAAUUGCAUAGUACUUUUUUUUGGGCAAGCGGUCACUACUCUCAUGAACAUAGGCUGAAUUUUGAAUUACUUGGUCAUAAAUACAAAUUAUGUCACUUUCCCACAAUUCUCAAAAUCGAAACUGGGGUGGCUAAAUUAGUGAUGAAUUGUAAACUAAAUAUUGAAGAAUUGUCAGUUAAUUUAGCCACGCCAGUUUCGUUUUUGUGGAUACUACAACAAAGUUAUGACAUUUAUGAUUAAGUUUUAAUGUCGUGGGUAAAUGUGGAAUUUGACCAUAAUUCAUAAUACUAGUUAUCAAUUGCCUGAUGUUUUUUAAUUAGUACUCCCUCCGUCCCAGGUAAUUUGGGACACUUUGACCGGACACGAGUUUUAAGAAAUGUAAUGAAAAGUGAGUUGAAAAAGUUAGUGGAAUAGGAGUCCUAUUUUGAUAUAUUAGUUUUAUAAUAAAAUGUGAGUAGAAAUGAGUUAGUGGAAUAUAUGGUCUAUUACCAAAAAUGAUAAAAAGAGGAAUGAGACAAAUUAUGUGAGACAGACCGAAAUGGAAAAUUGGGACAAAUGAUCUAGGUCGGAGGCAGUAAUUUUCAAGCUACACAUAAUUUAUCCAAUCAUUAUUCAAUCUGAUUUCUGUAGUGGCAAAUUCUCCCAUCUGCGGAUUCAAAUUUUCUUAUAUAACCGAUGAACCACCAUUGAUCAUCCUCGUAAACUAACAUUUCUCACAUGAGAAUCUUGCCUCGUUGUGCUCAAUUCAUUAUUUUAACGUGUAAAUCAAGAAAUGCUAGCAGUGGUGUUUACAGAUUCAUUUGUGAAAGAUUUUCUUUUUUGUUCUCAACUUUUCAUAGUCAUUUCUGCAACAAAUCUGAAAGAAAAAAUGGCAUACAAUCUUCAAUCCCUCAUCACCAUCCUACAACAAAUCCUUCAUCAACAACAAACACACUGGACUUUCGAUCAUAACAAACCCCAACUCGAAUCCCUACUCCAAAAAGCUGAAUCUCUGAUGCAAAUUCUUGAAAAGUCUUCACACACCCAAAGAAGAAGGUGAAGAUCAUACCCCUUGUUGGUAUGGGUGGUUCGGUAAGUCCACCCUUACUCGAAAACUUUAUGACGAUCUGAGAUAUGGGAGAUGUCUGAGUUAAGACACCUUAGGUUGAAGACAUUAAUCAAAAUUAAGGAGGGGAUAAAGGAUAAGAUUUGUUCAUAAGAAGCUGCAGACGAUUUACUUUGUGAGGACAACUACUUUGUGAGGAUAACUCCUUCAAAAUUAAGGAGGGAUACAAAGACGUCUCAAGUUGAUAAUGUUAAUUGAAAUCGGGGCGGAAUGCAGGUUUAGAUUUGUUCAUAAGAAGCUGCAUAAGAUAUACUUUGUGAGGAUAACUCCUUCAAUGAUUAGGAAUGGUUUCUUUGAGACCAUCCCUAAUAUCAUAAGCUUAGGAAUCCAUUUCAAAGAUCUUAGCCAUCUUCACAAACUCGAAAUUUUAAGAUGCCAUGCCAACUUGAAUUAAGAUGCUUGCCGUUUUCUACACAAACUCAGAUUUCCAUGUAGUAUUAGAAAGUUAGUUCUAAUUGAAUGUGCAGUAGCUCAGAGUUUCUUGACAACUCUUUGUGCACUACCGAAUCUGGAAGUGCUCAAAAUAAGGGAUUGUGCAGAGGAAGAAGAGUGGGAGAUGACAGAAGGAGAUGAAUUCCGUUCACUGCAGUUUCUGAGACUCUGUUCCUCUAAAAUAGUGCGUUGGAGAGCCAACGAGACCAACCUCCCUAAACUCUGGGAGCUGUAUGUAAUCAGAUGCAAUGAGCUAGAGGAAAUCCCCUGCGAUAUUGGAGAUAUCCCAACCCUCCAAACAAUUUUAUUACGUGAAUGUGGGUCUUCUGUCUUAGCCUCAGCGCAAGAAAUUCAGAAGGUUCAGCAAGAGGAGUAUGGAAACUACGACCUCAAAGUGCUCAUACGAGAUUAGAAGCCAAAAGGUACAAAUGCUAAAUUAUAAGCAUUUAAAAAAGCAUGCUCCAUUUUUUUCAUAUACAACACAAUCUAGUCCUUAAUAUUCAUUUAGAACUUAAAAUCGUUGGUAUACUUUCUUGAUCACGACUUGUGGUUAUUAAACUGUGUGUCUUCUCUAUGGUGUAACGAAUCUGCAGCUUGAAUAGUUUCAGCAUAACACUAGAAUCACUCGUGGCUCGAGCUAAAUGUAUGUAGCAUAAUAAAAGGUAAUCCAUGUUUAUGUCUGUUGGAUUUGGAUUUGGUAUUGUCUAGCUAUGUACUACUAUGUAGUUUUUCCCCUUGAUUUGAUAGCAGAAUGCUCGUCUUAUUCAGCUGAUGCUGCUCUUACAUCGCUUGCAAUAUGCCGCUAAACGUCUCGCGAUUGUAAUGUGAUUGUACAAGUGUAACCAUUCCUAUUGAUAUUUGUAACUGUUGGGACAUGUGAAGAAGGAUGCAAAUUUAGUAAGCAGUUGGUUUUUGUGAUUUUGUAUCCUUGAAUGUAUGCCUUCUUCCCAACUAUUGCUCUGUUUUCUUCAAAUAUAUGCUAAGUGAUUCGAAUCUCUAAUUUAUUGAUUGACACUGUCGUGUUGACAUGUUGCUGAUAUUGCUUGAUCAUGGUCAUUAGAUUAUGAUUUCUUACUCGCUAAUAUUAUUAACUAUGGUCGCCUAUGUUAACAAACUCGAAAAUUUAAGAUGUCAAUCUAAGUUGAAUGAAGAUGGUAGUAUUAGAAAGUUAACUAUAGUUGACUGUGUACUAUUUCGGAGUUUCUUGACAACACUAUGUGCACUACCGAAUCUGGAAGUGCUCAAAAUAAAGGAACGGAGAGGCAGAGGAAGAAGAGUGGGAGGCGAGAGAAGGAGAUGAAUUCCGCUCAUUGCAGUUUCUACGCCUCCAUUCAUUAAAUAUAGUGCGCUGGAGAGCCAACGAGAUCUACCGUCUAAGUUUGUGGUCAUGAAGGCAGAGGAAGACAGGAGGGCUGCUAUCAUUAGGCCCGAGGGUGAAAGUGAGUCUGCUAAGUUGAUUUCUAUCACAUCUCUUCUCCCUUAACUGAUGAUGAUUUCUAUCUUCUGUUCUACGGAGUACUUUACUUGUUACUUUUUUGUAGGCAGUUUUUUGUUAUCAUGUGUUUGUGAUAACAUAAAGGCAAAUUGUUGGAAAAAUUUUAGAGUUUUUAUUCAAAUUUUUAUUUGUCUUUGCAGUCAUCUUGUAACGAAAGAAACAACUACUUGUCGUAAAAUAAAUAAUACUAUUGCCUUGACGUGCUCAAUGCAUUAUUUUAAACUGUAUGUCUUCUGUAUGGUGCAUCGUUUUCUACAACUCGGAUAGAUUCAGCAACGCGCACGAAUCACUCAUAGCUCGAGCUGAACGUAUCAUGUACUGCAAUAGAAGGGUGUUAAAGAUCGUUGGCUUGGGAUGUGGUUUCUGCUUCUUUUCGUAUUCUGGAAUCGAUUUGUAUUCUUAAUUUCAUACUGUGCCCCUUUUAGCCAAAUUUUGGUUUGUCCAGUAAUUUUAAAAUUUAGUUGAAAAAUUAUGAAGUUUGAAUUUA